CGCACGGGUGAGUAACACGUAUGCAACCUGCCUGCCACAGCCGGAUAAUCGGGAGAAAUUCCGUCUAAUACGGCAUAAUGCAUCGACGGGACAUCCUGUUGGUGCCAAAGGUUAAUUCCGGUGGCGGAUGGGCACGCGUCGCAUUAGUUAGUUGGCGGUGUAACGGACCACCAAGACGACGAUGCGUAGGGGUUCUGAGAGGAAGGUCCCCCACACUGGUACUGAGACACGGACCAGACUCCUACGGGAGGCAGCAG
rnacentral:rRNA from 1 species